AACGAACGCUGGCGGCAUGCCUUACACAUGCAAGUCGAACGGCAGCACGGGUGCUUGCACCUGGUGGCGAGUGGCGAACGGGUGAGUAAUAUAUCGGAACGUACCUUAUUGUGGGGGAUAACGCAGCGAAAGCUGUGCUAAUACCGCAUAAUCCCUAAGGGGGAAAGCGGGGGACCGUAAGGCCUCGCGCAAUUAGACCGGCCGAUACCUGAUUAGCUAGUUUGUGAGGUAAAGGCUCACCCAGGCAACGAUCAGUAGCUGGUCUGAGAGGACAAUCAGCCACACUGGGAAUGGUACACGGCCCAGACGGCUACGGGAGGCAGCAGUGGGGAAUUUUGGACAAUGGGGGCAACCCUGAUCCAGCAAUGCCGCGUGAGUGAAGAAGGCUUUCGGGUUGUAAAGCUCUUUUGUCAGGGAAGAAACAGCAGAUCUAACACAGUUUGCGAAUGACGGUACCUGAAGAAUAAGCACCGGCUAACUACGUGCCAGCCGCCGCGGUAA
rnacentral:rRNA from 1 species